GGGCUGAGGUCUCUGGGGAAGGCAGAGCUGUGGUCUAGAAGAAGAUGAGGCUGCUGGGUCUUCUCCUGUGUCUGGUGACAGCUCCCCAAGGUGUCCUGUCCCAGGUGCAGCUGCAGGAGUCGGGGCCAGGACUGGUGAAGCCCUCGCAGACCCUGUCCCUCACCUGCACAGUCUCUGGUUACUCCAUCACAACGAGUUAUUCCUACUGGAGCUGGAUCCGGCAGCCCCCGGGGAAGGGGCUGGAGUGGAUCGGGCUCAUUGCUUAUGAAGGGAGCACAUACUAUAGCCCGUCCCUCAAGAGCCGCACCUCCAUCUCCAGAGACACGUCCAAGAACCAGUUCUCCCUGCAGCUGAGCUCUGUGACCUCCGAGGACACGGCCGUGUAUUACUGUGCGACAGCCAACAAAGUGGAAACAGUGUUUACAAUGAUGUAUCACCAGUGA